rnacentral:rRNA from 1 species
CGGCCGCAAGGUUAAAACUCAAAUGAAUUGACGGGGGCCCGCACAAGCGGUGGAGCAUGUGGUUUAAUUCGAUGCAACGCGAAGAACCUUACCUGGUCUUGACAUCCACAGAACUUUCCAGAGAUGGAUUGGUGCCUUCGGGAACUGUGAGACAGGUGCUGCAUGGCUGUCGUCAGCUCGUGUUGUGAAAUGUUGGGUUAAGUCCCGCAACGAGCGCAACCCUUAUCCUUUGUUGCCAGCGGUUAGGCCGGGAACU